UACGUAGGUGACAAGCGUUGUCCGGAUUUACUGGGCGUAAAGAGCGCGCAGGCGGUCGUUCAAGUCGAGUGUGAAAGCCCCCGGCUCAACUGGGGAGGGUCACGCGAUACUGAUCGACUCGAAGGCAGGAGAGGGUAGUGGAAUUCCCGGUGUAGUGGUGAAAUGCGUAGAUAUCGAGAGGAACACCGGUGGCGAAGGCGGCUACCUGGACGGUGACUGACGCUGAGACGCGAAAGCGUGGGGAGCAAACAGG
rnacentral:rRNA from 1 species